GAUGAACGCUGGCGGCGUGCCUAAUACAUGCAAGUCGAGCGAACAGACGAGGAGCUUGCUCCUCUGACGUUAGCGGCGGACGGGUGAGUAACACGUGGAUAACCUACCUAUAAGACUGGGAUAACUUCGGGAAACCGGAGCUAAUACCGGAUAAUAUAUUGAACCGCAUGGUUCAAUAGUGAAAGACGGUUUUGCUGUCACUUAUAGAUGGAUCCGCGCCGCAUUAGCCAGUUGGUAAGGUAACGGCUUACCAAGGCAACGAUGGGUAGCCGACCUGAGAGGGUGACCGGCAACAGGGGGACGGCGAUACGGCCCAGAAGCCUAGGGGAGGCAGCAGUGGGGAAUAUUGCACAAUGGGCGGAAGCCUGAUGCAGCAACGCCGCGUGCGGGAUGACGGCCUUCGGGUGGUAAACCGCUUUCGCCUGUGACGAAGCGGGAGUGACGGUAAUGGGUAAAGAAGCACCGGCUAACUACGUG
rnacentral:rRNA from 1 species